rnacentral:pre_miRNA from 1 species
UAUUAGCUUGGUGCAAAAGUAAUUGCGGUUUUUGCCAUUGAAAGUAAUGGCAAAAACCGCAAUUACUUUUGCACCAACCUUGUA